AAUUAAUUUUAACGGCCGCGGUAUCCUGACCGUGCAAAGGUAGCAUAAUCACUUGUCUCCUAAAUAGAGACUUGUAUGAAUGGCAAAACGAGGGUUUAACUGUCUCUUUUUCUCAAUCAAUGAAAUUGACCUACCCGUGCAGAGGCGGGUAUAACUAUAUAAGACGAGAAGACCCUGUGGAGCUUAAAAUUACAACUUAAAUUAAUUUAUAUUACACCCUAAGGGAUUAAUCUUACAAAACUUUUAAGCUGAAUUUUUGGUUGGGGUGACCUCGGAGCACAAACAACCCUCCGAAUGACAUAACUAAGACCAACACAUCUAAGUGCAACCUAAGCCAGUAAUUGACCCAAAACUUGAUCAACGGAACAAGUUACCCCAGGGAUAACAGCGCAAUCCUAUUU
rnacentral:rRNA from 1 species